rnacentral:lncRNA from 1 species
AAAAUUAUGGAAAAAAGAUGCACCUCUAUAAACAUCUUUCAAGGCUUCCUAUUGUUGGCUAACAUCCACAUCCUAUCCGGGAAGACAUGGAAAUCUACGCAAUUCAUUCCUCAGGGUUCAUGUUCCGAGUGUUUUUGCACUGAGAUAUCAGCUGAUUCCAAAAAGAUUGCAGGUGUUCCUUCGGUAGGUACCAGCAUAGCAUAGUUAGGGUGGAUAAUUUUAUAUUUCACAUUAAUUUUAUAUAAAUAUACAAAUGGUGGAUAAUGGUGAUCUGCAAAAAUGCUAGCCUCAUUAGGAGACCUUCAGUCCAAUCUUGUUAUUGAUGCCUUCAGCAUUAUCAACGUGUGGAAUGUGGAAGAACGUGAGCCUAUUAGAUUGAUCUGCAGCCAGCUAUAUACAGUUAUACAGCAAUAGUCAACCUGCUGCUAGAUGAUUCAGUUGAACAUUUAAAUAUUACCUGAUCUUAGCUAAUUGCAAGGUAAUAGUCUUCCUAAUUUUCGGUUUACUUUCUCGUUAACUGCAUAUCUUAAUACUUAUGGAGUAUCCAUAUAUUGUACAAAGAAUUUUUAAUCUGAAGUGAUAGAAUUCGUGUAAUCUCACUUGUAGACAAUUUUUUACAAGACUUGGACUGAUUCGUGCAUGAUCAGCAUGAUAUGUCUUAUAGAUGAGUCAUGUAUCAAUAAAAAAUGUUGAAUCUGACUAUGUGAUUAACCUGACAGGGUCACACCUUUCUGGGAAAAGAAGUUUGCUUGAUCAUGACCAAGAACCGUACAUAUCUUUUCAAGAGGCAGAUAGAC